AUGAACUGCACACCUCUACUCUUCCCACUCCUCUUGCUCUACACAGGCUUUGUGGUCUCCUAUGAGCUGACUCAGCCAUUCUCAGUCUCAGUAGCCCCAGGACAGACAGCCACAAUCACCUGUUCUGGAGAUGAACUGCCAAAUAACUAUGCAAACUGGUUCCAGCAGCAGUACCCAGGACAGAGCCCUGUGCUGGUAAUAUACAAAGAUAGUGAGAGACCUUUAGGGAUCCCAGAGAGAUUCUCUGGGUCCAGCUCAGGGACAACAGCCACUCUGACCAUCAGCAGAACUCAGACUGAAGAUGAGGCUGUCUAUUAUUGUUUAUCAUCAUAUGAUGAUAGUGGUAAUGCACUUCCCACAGUGACACAGACAGAUGGGAAGUGA